rnacentral:rRNA from 1 species
UACGGAGGGAGCUAGCGUUGUUCGGAAUUACUGGGCGUAAAGCGCGCGUAGGCGGCCUUGCAAGUUAGAGGUGAAAGCCCGGAGCUCAACUCCGGAACUGCCUUUAAAACUGCAUAGCUUGAAUCCGGGAGAGGUGAGUGGAAUUCCGAGUGUAGAGGUGAAAUUCGUAGAUAUUCGGAAGAACACCAGUGGCGAAGGCGGCUCACUGGACCGGUAUUGACGCUGAGGUGCGAAAGCGUGGGGAGCGAACAGG